rnacentral:tRNA from 1 species
AGUCGGUUAGAAUACCGGCCUGUCACGCCGGGGGUCGCGGGUUCGAGUCCCGUCCGCUCCGCCAGUUACGAGAAGGC